rnacentral:rRNA from 1 species
GACAGAGGUGCCAAGCGUUAGGCGGAAUCACUGGGCUUAAAGCGUGUGUAGGAGGAAUGGUAAGUACCUUGUGAAAUCCCACGGCUCAACCGUGGAACUGCUUGGUAUACUGCUUUUCUUGAGCCACUUAGGGGCAACCGGAACAAACGGUGGAGCGGUGAAAUGCGUAGAUAUCGUUUGGAACGCCAAUGGUGAAAACAGGUUGCUGGGAGUGUGCUGACGCUGAGACACGAAAGCCAGGGGAGCAAACGGG